GCUGGAUUCACCUCUUCGCUAAUUCCAGCUCCAAUACCGUAUACUAAACUUGUUGCAUUUAAAAAACUCGUAUCUGAAUUUCAGCAUUGCAUGUGGGCGCCCGUGCCGCCUCUGGUUCAUUGCACAGCAACUCCGCUGCAUCCUGCCGCGAACCACACUACCAUUCCUUUGGUGUGGUCUGGGCAUCGGAUCGUUUACUUUAAUAAAAAAAAAAUGUACAGAGCAGGCCUGAUGCCAUGAAUAAUGUAACAUGGAAUAAUGAUAAAAGACUUUGGUUCUAUUUUGUUGUGGUUCGGGACCGAACUAAUGAUUGAAAUGAACAGUUGGGGGCGUCUGUAUUCUGAAGCGAGAGGUGAAAUUCUUAGACUUUCGGAAGACAAACAGCUGCGAAAGCGUUCGCCAAGGAUGUUCCCUUUGAUCAAGAACGAAAGUUGGGGGAUCGAAGACGAUCAGAUACCGUCGUAGUCUCAACUAUAAACUAUACCAGCUAGGGAUCGGCCGACGUUGAUAUCAAAAGACUUGGUCGGCACCUUAUGAGAAAUCAAAGCAUCUGGGUUCCGGGGGGAGUAUGGUCGCAAGGCUGAAACUUAAAGGAAUUGACGGAAGGGCACCACCAGGCGUGGAGCCUGUGGCUUAAUUUGACUCAACACGGGGAAACUUACCAGGUCCAGACAUGAGAAGGAUUGACAGAUUGACAGCUCUUUCUUGAUUUUAUGGGUGGUGGUGCAUGGCCGUUCUUAGUUGGUGGAGUGAUUUGUCUGGUUAAUUCCGUUAACGAACGAGACCCCAGCCUGCUAAAUAGCGCGCGUGGCCUCUGGCCGCGGCGAGCUUCUUAGAGGGACUAUCGCUCGUUAUAGGCGAGGGAAGUUUGGGGCAAUAACAGGUCUGUGAUGCCCUUAGAUGUUCUGGGCCGCACACGGGCUACACUGACGCGUGCAACGAGCAUACCAGCUGGCCCGACAGGGCGUAGGCUAAUCUUUUGAACUCGCGUCGUGCUAGGGAUUGACCAUUGCAAUUGUUGGUCAUGCAACGAGGAAUGCCUUGUAAACGCGGGUCAUCAACCCGCAUUGAAUACGUCCCUGCCCCUUGUACACACCGCCC
rnacentral:rRNA from 1 species